rnacentral:tRNA from 3 species
GCCGUUGUAGCUCAGUUGGUAGAGCAACUCCAUGGUAAGGAGUAGGUCGCCAGUUCAAUUCUGGCCAACGGCUCCA